GACGAACGCUGGCGGCGUGCCUAAUACAUGCAAGUCGAGCGCAGGAAACUGACGGAACUCUUCGGAGGGAAGGCAGUGGAAUGAGCGGCGGACGGGUGAGUAACACGUAAGGAACCUGCCUCAAGGAUUGGGAUAACUCCGAGAAAUCGGAGCUAAUACCGGAUAGUUCAACGGACCGCAUGGUCCGCUGAUGAAAGGCGCUCCGGCGUCACCUUGAGAUGGCCUUGCGGUGCAUUAGCUAGUUGGUGGGGUAACGGCCCAACAAGGCGACGAUGCAUAGCCGACCUGAGAGGGUGAUCGGCCACACUGGGACUGAGACACGGCCCAGACUCCUACGGGAGGCAGCAGUAGGGAAUCUUCCACAAUGGACGAAAGUCUGAUGGAGCAACGCCGCGUGAGUGAUGAAGGUUUUCGGAUCGUAAAACUCUGUUGUAAGGGAAGAACACGUACGAGAGGGAAUGCUCGUACCUUGACGGUACCUUACGAGAAAGCCACGGCUAACUACGUGCCAGCCGCCGCUGUAAAAC
rnacentral:rRNA from 1 species